rnacentral:lncRNA from 1 species
UUUCCUAACCAAUAUUCUCUGUAAAAAAGAAAAACUAAGCAAGCAUACCUUGCAUUCAAGUGCAUAAACACGCUGAUUCCUAUGUCUCCCCUCCCGUCCAACAACAUCACCAAAGAAAAGACAUAAAUGAACUUCGUUACUUCACCGCAUCUCCUCGGCUCAUGGUUUGAUGAGACAAAUCUAGAUUUAUCCAUCCAUGAGAGGAGAAUGCUCCAAAUACUCCGAGACCUUAACGAAAGCCACCACAAACACCUGAGAUCUGGACCAUAGACUUUGAACCCGCGCCCAAAUUAUUUUUGCCAAGUAAAGAUCGCAUUGAGAAACCAAAUACAAAGCCAAAACAAAGACCGAAACAAAAACAUCUUAUUAAAACCAAUAGCCCAUUGAAGAACCAGCCACAAAGGCUUACACCACAGACUGAGAUCACCAACAAAAAAGCAAAACAAAGAAACCAAACCACUAGGACCAGACUCGAUUCUACAUGAUUUUAUCAGUGAAUCCAUCAUUAUUCAAAGCAUAAAUUAAUAGCAAAGCCCAAAACCAUUCAUCCUGAUGGAUUCUUUGGCUUGGUGUAAGCCUUCUUGGCGCCUUUCUCCCCUGCCUUUGCCGCUGCCUUUGCCUGAAGCUUCUUGCGGGGAG